CACUGCCGAGAAAAGCCUCUAGAUAGAAAAUAGGUGCCCGUACCGCAAACCGACACAGGUAGUCAAGAUGAGAAUUCUAAGGUGAGCGAGCGAACUCUCGUUAAGGAACUCGGCAAAAUGACCCCGUAACUUCGGGAGAAGGGGUGCUCUUUAGGGUUAACGCCCAGAAGAGCCGCAGUGAAUAGGCCCAAGCGACUGUUUAUCAAAAACACAGGUCUCUGCUAAACCGUAAGGUGAUGUAUAGGGGCUGACGCCUGCCCGGUGCUGGAAGGUUAAGAGGAGUGGUUAGCUUCUGCGAAGCUACGAAUCGAAGCCCCAGUAAACGGCGGCCGUAACUAUAACGGUCCUAAGGUAGCGAAAUUCCUUGUCGGGUAAGUUCCGACCCGCACGAAAGGCGUAACGAUUUGGGCACUGUCUCAACGAGAGACUCGGUGAAAUCAUAGUACCUGUGAAGAUGCAGGUUACCCGCGACAGGACGGAAAGACCCCGUGGAGCUUUACUGUAGCCUGAUAUUGAAAUUCGGCACAGCUUGUACAGGAUAGGUAGGAGCCUUUGAAACGUGAGCGCUAGCUUACGUGGAGGCGCUGGUGGGAUACUACCCUAGCUGUGUUGGCUUUCUAACCCGCACCACUUAUCGUGGUGGGAGACAGUGUCAGGCGGGCAGUUUGACUGGGGCGGUCGCCUCCUAAAAGGUAACGGAGGCGCUCAAAGGUUCCCUCAGAAUGGUUGGAAAUCAUUCAUAGAGUGUAAAGGCAUAAGGGAGCUUGACUGCGAGACCUACAAGUCGAGCAGGGUCGAAAGACGGACUUAGUGAUCCGGUGGUUCCGCAUGGAAGGGCCAUCGCUCAACGGAUAAAAGCUACCCCGGGGAUAACAGGCUUAUCUCCCCCAAGAGUUCACAUCGACGGGGAGGUUUGGCACCUCGAUGUCGGCUCAUCGCAUCCUGGGGCUGUAGUCGGUCCCAAGGGUUGGGCUGUUCGCCCAUUAAAGCGGUACGCGAGCUGGGUUCAGAACGUCGUGAGACAGUUCGGUCCCUAUCCGUCGUGGGCGUAGGAAAUUUGAGAGGAGCUGUCCUUAGUACGAGAGGACCGGGAUGGACAUACCUCUGGUGUACCAGUUGUCGUGCCAACGGCAUAGCUGGGUAGCUAUGUGUGGACGGGAUAAGUGCUGAAAGCAUCUAAGCAUGAAGCCCCCCUCAAGAUGAGAUUUCCCAACUUCGGUUAUAAGAUCCCUCA
rnacentral:rRNA from 1 species